GACGAACGCUGGCGGCGUGCUUAACACAUGCAAGUCGAACGGAAAGGCCCUGCUUUUGUGGGGUGCUCGAGUGGCGAACGGGUGAGUAACACGUGAGUAACCUGCCCUUGACUUUGGGAUAAGUUCAGGAAACUGGGGCUAAUACCGGAUAGGAGCUUCUGCUGCAUUGUGGGGGUUGGAAAGUUUCGGCGGUUGGGGAUGGACUCGGGGCUUAUCAGCUUGUUGGUGGGGUAGGGGCUUACCAAGGCUUUGACGGGUAGCCGGCCUGAGAGGGUGACCGGCCACAUUGGGACUGAGAUGCGGCCCAGACUCCUACGGGAGGCAGCAGUGGGGGAUAGUGCACUAUGGGCGGAAGCCUUAAGCAGCAACGCCGCGUGCGGGAUGACGGCCUUCGGGUUGUAAACCGCUUUCGCCUGUGACGAAGCGUGAGUGACGGUAAUGGGUAAAGAAGCACCGGCUAACUACGUG
rnacentral:rRNA from 1 species